rnacentral:misc_RNA from 1 species
ACCCNACACUCNGUAAUNACCCUUCCGUAGGUGAACCUGCGGAAGGAUCAUUACCGAGUGUAGGGUUCCUAGCGAGCCCAACCUCCCACCCGUGUUUACUGUACCUUAGUUGCUUCGGCGGGCCCGCCAUUCAUGGCCGCCGGGGGCUCUCAGCCCCGGGCCCGCGCCCGCCGGAGACACCACGAACUCUGUCUGAUCUAGUGAAGUCUGAGUUGAUUGUAUCGCAAUCAGUUAAAACUUUCAACAAUGGAUCUCUUGGUUCCGGCAUCGAUGAAGAACGCAGCGAAAUGCGAUAACUAGUGUGAAUUGCAGAAUUCCGUGAAUCAUCGAGUCUUUGAACGCACAUUGCGCCCCCUGGUAUUCCGGGGGGCAUGCCUGUCCGAGCGUCAUUGCUGCCCAUCAAGCACGGCUUGUGUGUUGGGUCGUCGUCCCCUCUCCGGGGGGGACGGGCCCCAAAGGCAGCGGCGGCACCGCGUCCGAUCCUCGAGCGUAUGGGGCUUUGUCACCCGCUCUGUAGGCCCGGCCGGCGCUUGCCGAACGCAAAUCAAUCUUUUUCCAGGUUGACCUCGGAUCAGGUAGGGAUACCCGCUGAACUUAAGCAUAUCAAUAAGCGGAGGA